ensembl:snRNA U6 U6 spliceosomal RNA
GUGCUCACUUCUGCAGCACUUCUACUAAAAUUGGAAUGAUACAGAGAAGAUUGGCAUGGCCCCUGCCCAAGGAUGAUAUGCAAAUUCAUAAAAUUGUAGCAGAUAAUU